rnacentral:lncRNA from 1 species
UGGAGAGCCAGAGAAGGACUGGAUAAACUUGUGUCUGAUGCCAACGAGCAGUACAAACUGGUCAGUGACACCGUUGGACAAAGGGUAGAUGAAAUUGAUGCUGCUAUUCAGAGAUCACAACAGGUAAAGUUUAUAAUUCUGUGUGCUAGUGUUUUAGGCCACAGAAUGUAUGUAUGGUGUCUAGUGCUAUAACCUACAUAAGUACAGGCUCAAGAAGAAUAAUGAGAUCAAAAUAAGUAGAACAGGGGUUGGGGAUUUAGCUCAGUGGUAGAGCACGUGCCUAGCAAGCGCAAGGCCCUGGGUUCGGUCCCCAGCUCCG